UCUUCUGUAUUUCUUGUCUGUUCCUUUCCUAUUUUCUAGGGUUUUUGCUUAUUAUUUUCUUAGAUCUACUUCGAUUCUCGCAAUUUCUUCCAUUAAUAAUUGUAUAAUCGUAUAGAUCGGUCUCCGAUUACUGUUUGACACCAAUUUUCAUGAUUUUCGAAGUAUUCUCUCGCCGGCGACCUUCAUGCUUCCAUUUCCAGUUGAAUAAUCGUAUAGAUCGGUCUCCGAUCUACCGGUUGACACCAAUUUUUAUGAUUUCGGUGGAUUAUUUCGCCGGAUAUCUUCACGCUCAUCGGAAUCGAGGAUUCCGGAUCGCCAUAUCAUGUGGAUGAGCUGGUGAAAUGCACCGAUCUAUUACUCGGCGUCUCAGGCACGUCUGUUUGUGCCGGUGUGGCUUAUUGCUCCUAUUUAUCGAUUAUCUGGCGUCUAGUAGCUGCGAUGAGUGUUGUGUAAGACGUUGAUGUGCUUCAGAACUCAAUUAAUCGAUAGACGAGAUAUUUCUGGACAAAUUAGGUUCUGAGAUCGAUGAAGGCUAUCGAUUUGCUGGUGAGGAUGUUCCGAUCUAUGACUAUGGAGUCGCUUUUGAAUUUUUACCAAAUAGUUUAGAUGAUCGGCUUUAAGUGAUUGAUGUUAUUGUUUAUCGUGUUGUAUUCAAAAUAGGCGUCUAAGAUGAUCCUGUGCUUCAGAAUUAAAUUACCUCCGGACAAAUUAGGUUAUCACAGUGAUGCUAUUUUGUAGAAGUGAACUGCAGUUCUGAUGAAACUCUGAAAGCAGGCGAGAGGUGAGAGUUUAAUUGUAUGAUUUACAUAUGUUGAAAUUUAUCUUGUGAGUCGGCCUUUGCCAUGUCAGGUGCGCUUGCUUGGCAGGCCAAUAAUAAGUCUAAUGAAAGUAAUUAUUUUUGGUCUGGUGAAGGGAGAUGGUACGGGGUGUUUGCCCGGCUCUCCCUUCAUGUCUGUCUCGUUUCUUUUUUGCUUUUUCAUUUCUAUAAACUUGCACGUAUGCACGUAUACAAUAUAAACUAUUCGAAACGCUUGCGACCAAUUUAGUCUCAAGCAUUUCGAACGAUGUUUUCAAUAAAUCAACAUACCACUGUAGCGGCAGCCACACGUAUUAGAUCAACAUAGCAGCAUGGAGUUUCAACACGACAGUAAUAAGUAGUAAGGCUUCUUUAUUAUCUGAUUAUCUCCCACGUGAAUAUCUAUUGUUUCGUCACAAACUUGUGUGGUUGACAACUUGACAUAACAAAAGCACCAAUAUGAUCUCUGUUUAUUUGUGAUUUUUGACAUAACAAAAGCACCAAUAUGAUCUCUGUUUAUUUAUGAUUUGAUUUGAAUUAUCACAUAUAUCUGUUCUAAAGUCAAAUGUGCAUUACCGCACUAUGAAAAUCUGCUCACGCAUGCAAAAUUCUGAAAAUUGUGUUAUUUUCUAUUUGUUAGUGUAUUGUAAUGUUGUUUUUGUAAUUUCUCUUUAGUUGAGCUCAAGGACAUUUUUUGUGUAAUUUCUUUAUCUUAGAUGUAUUUCAGUCGUAUGUAAGAUGUAGCUCGCAGAAAACUAGGGAGAUGGAGAUUUCUUACAACUUUUAUUAGCUUCAAUUGAUUGUAUAUGCUAAUGUGGAAACUGAAGCUCUGAUUCACAAGUAGGGGGUGUAGCCUUUGGAACAGUUCAAUUUCGUUGCUAACAAACGACAUCAAGCUAUCAACAACAAGUAUAGGUAUAUUCUGAUCUAAUUGUUAUUUUGUUAUUGAUGUUUUCAAUAACGAGGCUUUGUGCCGUUCAUCUUUAUAUGUCAAGAUAUGCUAUAUUUGAGUCUUGCUUGAUUUUUUGCGUGAGAUUGCCUGAAAUGCAAGUUUAUGAUUAAUUUU